AACCUGGUGGCUCAUGGGAUAUUUAUCUCAAGGGUCGUUUAUGGAUUUCCUUUCACACCCAUACACUCGUUACAACUGACCCAUUCUAACAGGAGUAAAUAAAUUAGUAAACUGCUCAUAGAAGGAUUUAAAUGACAAGGAGUGAACUAAUAUAAGCAAAAGGGGGGGGGGGGUAGUUAAUAGUAUGAUCCACCCAAGGCGAGGCAUGGUGGUCCCUUUAUGGACCCGGGAGAAACGAAUCAAGUUCGAAAUGGUGAAAAAGCUUUAUAACCCUGAGUUGCUCUUGCUAAUCGAUCCUGAACUAACAUGGAGGUUUUUAACAUUUUACAAAAGUUUAUUGUGACGUCACUUUAGGUACAUACGUGCUGGCUUUGGUUUCUUACUGUUGAUCCGGAUCUUAGGAUGGUGGUCGACUUUGGGAUGGCUGGUAGAAGCGGCUUUGUGGUAGGCGGUAGAGGUCACCGGAAACCUGGUGCAGUCUACCUGUACGUUAACUCAGCAUGACGACUGAUGAUUACUUCGCCGGUAGGCGGUAGAGGUCACCGGAAGCCUGGCUUCGACUACCGGUACUUUCGUUCAGGAAGAUGGCGGUUGUUGGCUAACCUUCGGAUAGCUAGAUGGCUGGUUUCGUACUAUGGCGUCGGGUAGACCACCGAGCGAGACUACCACGAUGAACAUCGGAUCGGAAGUGGUAAUGGUUCCGUGAGAAGCUUGCUCGGUCUUCGGAGAGCCUCUCUUCCGAAGCGGUAUUCUAGUUAAAACUCAGAAAAGAGUACAAAAGAAAAAGGUCCCUUUCACGGACCUUACCACCAAAGAUUAGCACUUGAUAACGCCACUGUACCUAACCUCAAUAUUGCACUUAGUUUUAGAUAGAUAUUUACCUUUUUCUUAUAACAUUUUUAACUUAUUUAUCUUCGUCGUUUUCCAUGUGUUUGUGUGUGUGUUGACUAACGUGAUUUUAACUAUAAUUUCAAUGGAUUUUAGAUUGUAACAUAACUUUUAGUAUAACAAUAGACACUAACCACACUAACACUUAUAAUGAUGCAUACAAUUACUAAUUUUACUAACACUUUUAAUUCUUCUUUUAGUUUACUAAUAUAACUAACAUAAACUUUUCAACGACGGUACGGAUCCUAUACAAAAGAACAAUACAGAAAUUAUAAAACAAAAUCACCAACAAAAGGUUAAUUAUUUCUGACCUCAAAUAUUAGCGAUUAAACACGCGCGCACUACAAUUCCGUGGGAGGAUCACGAUUACAAGAAGGACGGGCAUAUGACAUCAGGCGGCUUUUAUAAGCAAUGCCGUUUCACAUAACUAUAUUUUUUUAAUAUGUCAUUCUCGUUAUGCUUAUGUUUGUCCACCCUGUGUAUAGUGGCACCAUCUAUGAGCGGCCAUAAAUAUAACAGGGCUGUGACAUCUUUUUCCCUUAAACUCAAACUGCUCGAAUCGGGUUGUUGUCAUACUUGGUACUUAGUGAAAGGUGAACAUUCAUUCCGACAUGUCUAUUAUGAGUGUCACGCGUUUUAAUUUGGAUGGAUAUUUAAAAACCUUGCUUGUGGCGAAGCCAACAAGAACAAAUUGGAACCGAACGGUUACAUUACCCCAUCGUUCCUCUUUCAAAAUGAAAUUUUUUCAUUUUGAAUUUUAGGAUUAUUUAUCAUUUGAUUAUCAACUUCAACCGACAUCAUCUCUGAUUUGGUGAAUCAAAAUUUGUAAAUGUCUAUUUGCGGGAAUACCCUAUUAACCUUCAUCGCUCACGCGAGAAGAAAAGGUUCUCAUUCCGAGUAUACUCGACUAUAGUAACUCAUUAACCAACACUAUCGUGUUGCAAUUUGUCAUCACCAACAUAUGGUGCAAUGUUUAUGUUUACGAUUUGAUACGAGUAUGACGGUUCGCGAUUCCGAUUUUCUCGAUUAAACUCCUCUGGAAAUUUCGCGUUUUUCGGAAGUGAAUCUAAUUAAACGGUGUCCGCGAACAGAAAACUCUCGGGAGUGAUCACUGUAGUUACCGCGAUUCGCGAACAAUUAUCAGUUACGUUUCAUUUGUCGGUUGUAGAAUCGGUCGGCGCAGAGAGAUUUCUCUUCAGGAGACGUUUAGUUGAUUGCCCUGGACGUUGAAACUGCAUCCAUUGAGUGGCUCAUUCAUUGAGCGACCCAUUCAUUGAGCGGUCCGGACCUUUGAAUGGUGAGUAUCAAUCAAUCAAGUAUGACUGACUUGAAGAUUUUCUUUGAUGACUGUUUAUUUUGAUUCCAGGUUGCUGGACUUAACCGUCCAAAGAACGUACGACGUGGGAUAAAUUGGAUCGCCAGUUCUUUCGCUUAGAACUGGUCCCACUGUUAGUUGGUUCGUAGGGCUCGCGCCAGGAAGCUUCACUGGCAGCAUCUGAGCCUACUUCGAUCGUUGGGUGGCCUCGACGGACCGAUACCUCAGGCACUUCCGAGAAGACCCGAGCAAAACUUUGUUGUGGCCUCGACGGACCGAUACCCUCAGGCACUUCUGGGAAGACCCGAGCCAAAACUUGUUUAUUUCUGUGCUUUAUUGGUAGCACUUCGAAGUACCAAAUACAUUUCGAUUAGGGGGGGGGUUGGGGUUGCAUU